AAUUUAAGAAGCCAGAGAACCGAGAGCCAUACAGGAACAGACUUGGACAGGAUCAGAGAAAGCUAUGCUGUCGUAACGCACAGUGAGAAAAUGUCAUAGGAGGUUUCAGAUAAAAUGUUUCUGCAUGGCUUCUCACUGGGGUCCUUCCUUCCUCCUCUUCCUCUUCUUCCUCCUUCCUCCCUCUUCCCUUCUUUUUGUCCUUUUUAUCUUCGUCUCCUCUUCCUUCUUCUUCUGCAUCGUUUCUACACAGCUUCUCCUCCUCUUCACCCUCCUUUUUCCUGAGCAGGGUGAACAUGGAUGUAUGAAGGAGUGAGAAAGCCCCUGGUGGGGGCAGAACCUUCAGCGUUUGCUUUGUACACCGUCUGCUCCACUCUGGGCGUCUCCUUCCAUGUGAAGGAUGAGUGUGGCCAAGCAGACGUGACCCAUGUCCCUGGAGCUGAAUGGACAGAGCCUUGGACGGCCUGAAAUUUACUAUAUAGACCCGGCUAACAUUGAACUCACAGACACCGUCCAGAUCCCAACUCCAAGUGCUGGAGUUAAAGGCAAGCACCACCACCCCCAGAUAUACUUGGUGUUGUACGGGUGAUUUGCCUGCAUUGAUGUCUGUGUAUCAUGUGCAAGCCUGGUGCCUAUGGAUGUCAGAAGAGAUCAGAUCUCCCAGAACUGGAGUUAUGGAUGAUGGUGAGCUUCUGGAUGAACUGUCGUAUGGCCACUACUACAUGUCAUAUGGUCACUGUUGAAGGAUCUGAGGAGUUUAGUUCAGUGCCUGGCAAGCAAUGAAUGGCUAAAGGACAUUCUCUACGCAUGGAAUGCCUAAAAGAGACUCCAAAUCCUGGACAGUGGAAAAGCAGAUGUACUUAAGGAGGCAAGUGAGUCCUCUUCUUUGAAUUUCUGGUCCUACACAAACACACAGAGUGAACAGGAUUGUCUUUUGAAAGAUGAGCUCCCUCUCGCUCUUCGUCUUGUUCCAGACAACUACACUGGAAGACCAGUAGUCACAGACUUACCAGGAGCCCUGCCCAAGCCUUCCCUGCCAAGGCUCUCAAGACCUAGGCUUGGAAGGGUUUCACCAGUGGGGUGCCGGUGUGACCGUCUUGCCAGGAAUGAAGAAAUCCAGGAGACAUCAUGACCCCCCCCCCUUUGGCUACCUGGCAGCUUUAGAAUUCUCACAAUUAGACGUUCCUCGGGGACUCAUGCUGACUGGACUCAUGGUGCCAGCCAGAGGGAGAGUUUGUCUCCCAGGAAGAGAUCUCAGAAUUCUGACAACUUGUCUGACUAGACUCUCCCCUGAGAGACUGGAGCUAAGGCAGUGAUGGGCAGGACCAGGCCGUGGCCAGAACUGCUUAAUAAUGAACAGAGAUCUCUCCUUCACAAGGCCUUCCUCUGUCAUGGAGGCCCAGCCAGAAGUUCCCCUAAUUCCAUCCGCACUGGAAACAAGCCACUUGUGCAUCUGCACUAGGAAAUGUCAGCCACUUGGGUUGAAGAGAAGCUGAUGAUGUCCCCAUGUGGUCCCAGGAAGGGAAUGCCACUGUCUUGAGGGUUAAAGUUCACUCUGUUACACAGAAGUUCUUCCUGUUUGCUCCACAAACAUUUUAAGGACGAAGCCCCUACAUCUCUAUUACGGAGCAAGUGCAAGUGUCGGAAGGUUGACUGUGGAGCCUGCAAGAUUAUGGCUCAGAAGGAGAAGGCACUCAUCUCCAAACCGGACAACCCGAAUUCAAUGCUCAGAACCCACAAGCCAGAAGGAGGGAAGCAACCUUGCAAGUUGUCCUCUGACUUGCACACGUGCGCUAUAUCACACA
rnacentral:lncRNA from 1 species